UGCACCGCGAGUUCCCGAAGCGGGGAAUCUCAGGAAUGCGCACCGAUGACCUCAAAAGACUCUUGAGGUCCGCUUACUUGAUUUCGAGGUCCACGUCGGAAAUCACACCAGUCGUUCUCUCCUUUCCUUAAGUAAUAAAGGAGCGAACGGGGAUUGCCCUUAACUGCCUAAUGGG
rnacentral:lncRNA from 1 species